UACGUAGGUGGCAAGCGUUGUCCGGAUUUACUGGGCGUAAAGAGCGCGCAGGCGGCUGGUCAAGUCCGAUGUGAAAUCUCCCGGCUUAACUGGGAAACUGCAUCGGAAACUGAUCGGCUUGAAGGUGGGAGAGGGUAGUGGAAUUCCCGGUGUAGUGGGUGAAAUGCGUAGAUAUCGGGAGGAACACCAGUGGCGAAGGCGGCCCCCUGGACCGGUACGUGACGCUGAGGCGCGAAAGCGUGGGUAGCAAACGGG
rnacentral:rRNA from 1 species